rnacentral:rRNA from 1 species
UACGAAGGGGGCUAGCGUUACUCGGAUUGACUGGGCGUAAAGGGCGCGUAGGCGGAUGGUACAGUCAGACGUGAAAUUCCUGGGCUCAACCUGGGGGCUGCGUUUGAUACGUGCUGUCUGGAGUUCGGAAGAGGGUCGUGGAAUUCCCAGUGUAGAGGUGAAAUUCGUAGAUAUUGGGAAGAACACCGGUGGCGAAGGCGGCGACCUGGUCCGAUACUGACGCUGAGGCGCGAAAGCGUGGGGAGCGAACAGG